UGUCCUAGAACUCCCUCUGUAGAUCAGGUUGACCUGGAACUCCCGGAGAUGGGCCUGGUCUCUGCCUCCCAAGUGUGACUGACUAGAGGCAAGCGCCAUCAUGCCCACCUCUACAUUUUUAUUUUAAAGCUCACCAAGUCAUAACAAUAUGGAGCCAGAGAGGCAUCUAAUUGUUUUAUUUUUCAUAUUUCGUUCUUUAAGAUUUAUCUAGGGGCUGAAGAGAUGGCUCAGCAUUUCGGGGAACUGCUCAUUCUUAGGGACAGGGUUUGAUUCCCAGCAAACACAUGACUGCUCACAAUUGUCUGUAACUCUGGUUCCGGGGAAUCUGAAACUUUCUUCUGGCCUCCAUGGGCACUAGCCAUUGCAAGCAGGCAAAACACCCACACAUAAAAUAAAAAUAAGGAUUUAUUCAUAUAGCUGCAGAUAUAUAAUUUUGAAAUGUAGUCCCUUAGAGGUAGAGAACUAGUUCCCUAACACCAUAGAGUUGUCAAGAGUAUCCUCGUUUUUUCUUGUUUGUCCUAUUUAUUUAGUGAUCAGAGGAUUUAAUUCAGAGGCAUGAAGGAAGGGAGGAACCGAAGAGAUAAAGAUCUGACGUUCCUGGCAGGGCCAAUCUCCCUGGCCUCCUCUUUGCUAAAAAUAGUAGUUAAUUUUGUUUGUUUGUUUGUUUUUGAGACAGGGUCUCAUUAUGUUGCUUCAGCUGUCCUAGAACUCACUGUCUAGACCAGGUUGACUUGGAACUCACAGAGAUCUUCCCCACCCCAUCUGCUGUGGCUGCAGGAAUAUAUCAUAAGAACUCACUACCUGGAGGGAUCAAGGAUUUCCUCCAGAGGAAGACAAAUUCCACGGAGCUUUUGGUGUUAUUGGCUUGUUAUAUAUCAGUUGUAUUCUGUUAUGAAAAUCAUGUGUGCCUUCAUAGUUUUCCCAAUUGACUUUUCCCUAGGAAAGGCUAACAGUGUGGACUGAUCACUCUCUGGACAUACACAUUUCAGGUAUUUGGAAAACAGCCUCAGGAAAGGCUUCCUCUGGAAUCAGAUAUCUCCCUUAGCCACUUUCAAGGACUAGCAGUAAUAACAGUCCACAUGCAAGUCUCCUGAUUUAAGGUAAAUUCCACAAGGAGACACCGCCUAGGUCAGGUGGAAGUUAAGUAAUAGCUUUACACAAUUUAGCUCGGACCCUGCUUUAUUACAACCUUAAUAACUUUAUAGACCUCUAACUCCUUACCUAACCACCUCUAGGAAUAUUUAGAUAACCUUUUGCACUGACAGCUAUGCUCAGCCAGAACCCCAGCUCAAGCCUCCCUGUAAUUAUCAUCAUUGGCAGCAUCUGUUCAGGUCCAUCCCCAGAUGGAGAAAAGUACCUUAUCAGAGAUACCACUGUACUCUCUAAGAACAGACUUAAGCAUCCAGGCUACCUGUUUGAGAAGGCCUGGCAGAUGUGCCAAUUAAGCUUAACUUCCUCCUUUCCCAAAUCUUACCUCCGGUUCCAGAUCUCCCUUUAACUAUCACCAGAGGCAUCUACCUGUACACAGGUUGCCUAGCAACCGAGCACACUUUCCCCCACCCUGCAGAAAAACCGCAGAUUGCUUGGACAGAUAGGAGCCAUAGGAAAAAAGAAGGCAGUUUUAUUUUCUCCCAUUGACCUAGCAACUUAUAGAUUCUUAACAUUUUCUACCAAUCACGUUUAAGACUAUAGGUGAGCACAUAAGAUCCCUCUUCUUAGAUAUUACCCGAAUUUAGCCUUUAGUUAAUUCAUUUCCCCAUUGGUCACUUCCUUUGGGGUUGCAAAUGAUAAUUAACGGUUAUUGCCUCCCUAUGUGAUUCUUAUCACCCUUCCCUUUGACCCUGGAAGCCUGGCUUUGCACUGCUAAGGGAAUACUGCUUGUAAGUGUAUAUAUACCAGGACUCCCAGGGCACUGGAGGAGGGAGAAGAGGAAAGAGAAUGGAAGAACUAGAUGGGUAAGAACUUGAGAGGAACAAACUGAGAUGGGGAAGAACUAGAUUGAAGGGCUAAAAGAGAGGACUAGAGGAACGAGAUGGAAGAUGAGGAAGAGCCAGAUGGGGAAGAACAAGAUGAGAGAGAAAGGAGAUGAGAGAGGAGCUGAGAUGGAAAAGAACUAGAUGGAUGAGAACCUAGAAGGGGCAGAACUAAGAUGAAGGAAUUUAGAUAGAACCUAGAGGGGACAGCAGAUAAAUGUAAAGAGAAAUUGGGCAAGAAAGGAGCUAAAAAUGAGAGCAGAGUAUAAGCUGGUAGAGAGAGAACUGACAGAAUAAUAAAGUGUAUGGACUAAGGAGUUUUGUGUACAUAGAUUCAUUUCCUUUCUUCAAAAAUUAAUUAUCAGCCGGUUGUAGAUUCUUCCCGGACCCUGGGAGGGGACUAUCGAGGGGCUGGACCCCCAUAGUCCCCGAUGCCCAUCCCCAAUACUGGAAUUAACAGUGUGUGCCACUGCCCAGCUAUAUUAAUUUAUUUUUAAGACAAGGCCUCAUGUAUCUCAGGUUGGCCUCAAACUUACUAUGUAUCCUAGGAUGAUUUUGAACUCCCAGCCUUCCUCGAUUCUACUUCCCUCUUCCCUGAAUUUUAAGUGUAGGCUGCCACACCCAAUUUGAUUAAUGUUUUCUUAUGGUAAUAUAUUUCUUUUAAAGCCAAGUUGAGGCCUAAUAAAGAUAGCUUAAUGUGAUCUUUAAACUUGAUAGUUAAAAGAGAGAGGAGGCACUCCAAAGGAAAGACACCCCCAAGGGCAUGAGUAUGGGGUUGUCUGUGAGAAAUGUAUUUUUUGUUUGUCUUACUGUUAUAUACAUUUUUCAGACAAGUUCCCACCAUGUAGCUCUUAGUGGUUUGGAAUUUACUAUGUAGGCAAGGCUGGCCUUGAAUUCAGAGAUCCACCUGCCUUUAUCUCUUGAGUGCUGGAAUUAAUGGCAUGUACCGCCACACUCCACUCACUUAGAUUUUUUUUAGAACGGAGUCUCUUGUAGCCUCAAACUGUACUUUUUUGUUGUUGUUGUUUUGUUUUUUGAGACAGGGUUUCCCUGUGAAGUUUUGGUGCCUGUUCUGGAUCUCACUCUGUAGACCAGGUUGGCCUCAAACUCACUGAGAUCUGCCUGGCUCUGCCUCCAGAGUGCAGGGAUUAAAGGCGUGCACCACCACUGCCCGGCUCCAACUGUACUUGUACUCAGGAUGGCUUUGAACUCCUGAUCCUCCUGACUCUCUGAGUGCAGAGGAUUACAAGCAAGUGCCAUCCCACUGGGUUUUAUUAGCCCUAGGGUUGGAACCCAGAGCUCCCUGAAGUGCUAUAGGUAAUCAUUCUACCAGUCCCAAUGUCUUACAGCUCUGGAAAGAAACCCGGGGAGAUGCUUGAUAAAUGCCUGUGGAUAUGUGGGAAGAAUCCAGACCAGACUGGCCUCCAAUUAGUCUUGUCCUUGUCCCUGUUGGUAAUGCAGCAGGGAGUGUUUGUCUUUGUUCUCUGAAGUUAUCUGCUUUAUUCCUUCCUGUCUGUGCCUCCUUCUCUCUCCACAGGACCUCUCUAUACGUAGCCCUGGCUGUCCUGGAACUAGCUAUGUAGACAAACCUGGACUCAACUCUAGGACAUUCAACUUCUUCCUCAAAUCUCUGUGCGGUGCUUCUGCACUCUGGCCUGCCUUGAACUCAAUAUAGCCUUGGAUGAGGCUGGAUUCCUGAUCCUGCAGCCUCCAUCUCCUGAGUGCUGAGAUUAUAGGCCUGUGACACCAGGAUGUCUCCAUAACAUUUUUUUCUUUGCAAAUCAGAAUGUAUCCCCAGCUCCAAGAAAAUGACUUCAACUCUAAGAAAGAUCUCAAAGCUACAAUCUCUAUUAUUUGUUCAAUUCUGUUUCUUUAAAGGCUUUUAUGAAGAAUAGCCACCUUGAAUUUAAUUAAAUAUCUUUGCAAUAUCUAUUGGAUAUUCUUGUUCAACAUAUUAAUGAACCCAACAUAAACCAAAACAAAAUUGUGUAAUGAGUAUUUUGGGCAGCUCAAUUAGUUUCAGUUUUUCUUUCCCCCAUCCUUCCAUAGUGACAUAUUCUGGAACCUUCCAGUUUCACAUACUUCCUGUGAACCAAUGAGAUGUUCAAAGAAGCAGAAGACUAUGUGUUGUGGAAUAUUCCUUUAACUAGAUAAAGAUGUGUUACAUUUGUUUAUGCUGUGGCAGACUAUUACUUUAACUGUGGAAAGGUGUGUUACUCUUGUUUAUACUGUAUUUGUUUAACGAUGUAAGGAUGUGUGUUUAAUUAUGUAAAGAUGUGUCACAUCUGCCUGAGGCACCUGAUUGGUCUAAUAAAAAGCUGAAUGGCCAAUAGGUAAGCAGGAGAGGGAUAGGUGGGGCUGCCAGGCAGAGAGAAUAAGUAGGAGGCAAAGCUGGGCUCAAAAAAGAGGGGAGGAACAAGAGAAGGGGAAGUAAGGAGAGACACCCAGGGCAAGAAGCCAGGCAGCUGCCAGCCAGUAGACACUAGAAGCUGUGAAAGUAAGAAGGAAAGAAAAAAACAAAAAGCUCUGAGGCAAAAGGCAGAUAAAGAGAAACAGGUUAAUUUAAGCUAAAAGAGCGAGCCGGAAACAAGCCUAAGCUAAGGCCAAGCAUUCAUUCAAAACUGAUAAGUCUCUGUGUAAUAAUUUGGGUUGAUGGACCAAAAGAAAAAGCCUGGGACACCUAUGUAUCUCCAGCCUCAGCUUUUCUGAAUCUGUCCAACUGUUGGAGCCCACUAGGUUCCUAGUGGCUGUUUCCAGCAGGACUGCAUAGGAGGUUGAUGGGACCACGGGCCUGGGUACCAGGUGUUUGUAAGGGUCUACACUUGAUUGUAACUAGCAAGGGGGAGGGCUUCUGUUCCACCCCUUGGCAUUGUUAUAAAUAGACCUUUAGAAUAAAGUUCUGGGCCGGUGGAUAAGGCUCCAGGCCCACCCGAGA